UCCUUACACAAAUCAUCUAAAGUGGCCACUGUUUUAACCAUGGUUGCUUGCAAAUGGUAAGCACUGCAGGAGAGGGUCUCGUUUUAUAAGCUGUCGUCGAUGUUGUUCUUGCGGUCGAAGGUGUUACCUUUGAGAGGGCGCUAGAAAUAGCAGCUUCCUCCGUCUUAAAAUGAAAAUCAAUGUAAAACGUUGUCCUGGAUGCACUGUUCCAAGGAAAAUGACAGAAUGGUCACGAGUGAAC